rnacentral:rRNA from 1 species
CGGGGUGAGUAAUGUCUGGGAAACUGCCUGAUGGAGGGGGAUAACUGCUGGAAACGGUAGCUAAUACCGCAUAACGUCGCAAGACCAAAGAGGGGGACCUUCGGGCCUCUUGCUAUCGGAUGUGCCCAGAUGGGAUUAGCUAGUAGGUGGGGUAACGGCUCACCUAGGCGACGAUCCCUAGCUGGUCUGAGAGGAUGACCAGCCACACUGGAACUGAGACACGGUCCAG